CCUACGGGAGGCAGCAGUAGGGAAUAUUGCUCAAUGGGGGAAACCCUGAAGCAGCAACGCCGCGUGGAGGAUGAAGGUUUUCGGAUUGUAAACUCCUUUUGUUAGAGAAGAAAAUGACGGUACCUAACGAAUAAGCACCGGCUAACUCCGUGCCAGCAGCCGCGGUAAUACGGAGGGUGCAAGCGUUACUCGGAAUCACUGGGCGUAAAGAGCGCGUAGGCGGGAUAGCAAGUCAGAUGUGAAAUCCUAUGGCUUAACCAUAGAACUGCAUUUGAAACUGUGAGUCUAGAGUAUGGGAGAGGUAGGUGGAAUUCUUGGUGUAGAGGUGAAAUGCGUAGAGAUCAAGAGGAAUACUCAUUGCGAAGGCGGCCUGCUAGACCAUAACUGACGCUGAUGCGCGAAAGCGUGGGGAGCAAACAGGAUUAGAUACCCUAGUAGUC
rnacentral:rRNA from 1 species